rnacentral:rRNA from 1 species
UGGGGAAUAUUGGACAAUGGGCGCAAGCCUGAUCCAGCCAUGCCGCGUGAGUGAUGAAGGCCCUAGGGUUGUAAAGCUCUUUCAACGGUGAAGAUAAUGACGGUAACCGUAGAAGAAGCCCCGGCUAACUUCGUGCCAGCAGCCGCGGUAAUACGAAGGGGGCUAGCGUUGUUCGGAAUUACUGGGCGUAAAGCGCACGUAGGCGGAUUGAUCAGUCAGGGGUGAAAUCCCGGGGCUUAACCCCGGAACUGCCUUUGAUACUGUCUGUCUAGAGGUCGAGAGAGGUGAGUGGAAUUCCGAGUGUAGAGGUGAAAUUCGUAGAUAUUCGGAGGAACACCAGUGGCGAAGGCGGCUCACUGGCUCGAUACUGACGCUGAGGUGCGAAAGCGUGGGGAGCAAACAGGAUUAGAUACCCCCGUAGUCC